rnacentral:tRNA from 1 species
ACGGGUGUAGCUCAACGGCUUAGAGCACCGGCCUCCAAAUCCGAAGGUUGCAGGUUCGAAUCCUGCCACCCGUG